UACGAAGGGUGCAAGCGUUACUCGGAAUUACUGGGCGUAAAGCGUGCGUAGGCGGUUUGUUAAGUCUGUCGUGAAAGCCCCGGGCUCAACCUGGGAAUGGCGAUGGAUACUGGCGAGCUAGAGUACGGUAGAGGAGAGUGGAAUUCCCGGUGUAGCAGUGAAAUGCGUAGAGAUCGGGAGGAACAUCAGUUGCGAAGGCGGCUUUCUGGACCAGUACUGACGCUGAGGCACGAAAGCGUGGGGAGCAAACAGG
rnacentral:rRNA from 1 species